rnacentral:rRNA from 1 species
GACGAACGCUGGCGGCGUGCUUAACACAUGCAAGUCGAACGGUGAAGCGGGUGCUUGCACUCGUGGAUCAGUGGCGAACGGGUGAGUAACACGUGAGUAACCUGCCCAUCACUCUGGGAUAAGCGCUGGAAAACGGCGUCUAAUACUGGAUACGACCAACCCUUGCAUGGGGUGUUGGUGGAAAGAUUUAUCGGUGGUGGAUGGACUCGCGUCCUAUCAGCUUGUUGGUGGGGUAAUGGCCUACCAAGGCGACGACGGGUAGCCGGCCUGAGAGGGCGACCGGCCACACUGGGACUGAGACACGGCCCAGACUCCUACGGGAGGCAGCAGUGGGGAAUAUUGCACAAUGGGCGAAAGCCUGAUGCAGCGACGCCGCGUGAGGGAUGACGGCCUUCGGGUUGUAAACCUCUUUCAGCAGGGAAGAAGCUUUUGUGACGGUACCUGCAGAAGAAGCACCGGCUAACUACGUG